rnacentral:rRNA from 1 species
CUUGGCUCAGGAUGAAACGCUAGCGGGCAGGCUUAAUACAUGCAAGUCGUGGGGCAGCAUGAGUAGCAAUACUUGAUGGCGACCGGCAAACGGGUGAGGAACACGUACACAACCUUCCUUCAAGCGGGGAAUAGCCCAGAGAAAUUUGGAUUAAUACCCAUAAUAUAUUUGAUAAGGCAUCUUUAUUAAUAUUAAAGCUUCGGCACUUGAUGAUGGGUGUGCGGCUGAUUAGAUAGUUGGCGGGGUAACGGCCCACCAAGUCUACGAUCAGUAGCUGAUGUGAGAGCAUGAUCAGCCACACGGGCACUGAGACACGGGCCCGACUCCUACGGGAGGCAGCAGUAAGGAAUAUUGGACAAUGGACGAAAGUCUGAUCCAGCCAUGCCGCGUGAAGGAUUAAGGUCCUCUGGAUUGUAAACUUCUUUUAUAUGGGACGAAAAAAGGGCAUUCUUGUUCACUUGACGGUACCAUAUGAAUAAGCACCGGCUAACUCCGUG